rnacentral:rRNA from 1 species
GAUGAACGCUGGCGGCGUGCCUAAUACAUGCAAGUCGAGCGAACAGACGAGGAGCUUGCUCCUCUGACGUUAGCGGCGGACGGGUGAGUAACACGUGGAUAACCUACCUAUAAGACUGGGAUAACUUCAGGAAACCGGAGCUAAUACCGGAUAAUAUAUUGAACCGCAUGGUUCAAUAGUGAAAGACGGUUUUGCUGUCACUUAUAGAUGGAUCCGCGCCGCAUUAGCUAGUUGGUAAGGUAACGGCUUACCAAGGCAACGAUGCGUAGCCGACCUGAGAGGGUGAUCGGCCACACUGGAACUGAGACACGGUCCAGACUCCUACGGGAGGCAGCAGUAGGGAAUCUUCCGCAAUGGGCGAAAGCCUGACGGAGCAACGCCGCGUGAGUGAUGAAGGUCUUCGGAUCGUAAAACUCUGUUAUUAGGGAAGAACAAAUGUGUAAGUAACUAUGCACGUCUUGACGGUACCUAAUCAGAAAGUCACGGCUAACUACGUG